rnacentral:rRNA from 1 species
UACAGAGGGUGCGAGCGUUAAUCGGAAUUACUGGGCGUAAAGCGUGCGUAGACGGUCAUGUAAGUCGGAUGUGAAGCCCCGGGCUCAACCUGGGAAUUGCAUUCGAGACUGCAAGGCUUGGGUGCGGAAGAGGGAAGCGGAAUUUCCGGUGUAGCGGUGAAAUGCGUAGAUAUCGGAAGGAACACCAGUGGCGAAAGGCGGACUUCCGUGG